rnacentral:lncRNA from 1 species
AAUAUAUAUAUAUAUAUAUAUAUAUAGAGUUAGGCUCCUAUAUUUUCAAAAGUACGGAAGCUUUUGUACUUAUAAGUUGUUUUCAAUAAUAGAGCAUCCAAUUCGGCGAUCGGUUCCGUUAGACAUGAUCUACGCUGUUGGAAUUACUUAGAAACCAAAUUUCAUAAUUUUUUGAUUUUGUUUGUCUAGUAAACGAGUAGCCUCAAAAUAAAUGGCUGAAAAUAAAAAUCUCAUAAAAAACAGUGAUAAAGGACUCAAAUUUCAAAUCGGAAGUAUUGAUCUUACUAUUGAUGUUAAGUAGAAUUUUUUAUUAAAUUUUCAUCUAAUUUGAAUAUUUCUACACCGUUGAACUUAAAAAAGUACCACAUCGGCCAUUAAAAUAGUCAUUUUUGAGACCGCAAUUGCCUACAUUUAAAAAAAUCCAAAUAAACCAAAAGUACUUUU